GCCAUAUCUCUGCAGAGCAGUGGCAGCAAUGUUACUGAUGGGCCCUUCUCCUGACUCAGCAUAUUUUAGCAGCAGUGGAAUUCCUUCAGGCAGAAGGGCGUUCUUCAUUGCCAGCAGGUGCCCAGGGCUUUAAUUUUAGUCACUUGACUUUCUCGAGCAUGAAUCAGCUUUAGAAGAACUAAAGACCUUUUCUCUAACAAAGGAUUCCAUGUCUGAUCCUGCAGCCUUUACUGAGUUACAUUGACUUUGAUGGGACUGCUUUUUCUGAGUUUGGCAAUUUGACCAGAAUGUCCAUAAAAAUCUUUGUAACUUUACACAGAGAUAUUAGAAGAUUUGGCUUAAGUUCCAAUUCUUCCCUUCGGAUAGGUUUUUUUUAAAAAUGAAUGCAGAGUGAGCUCAGAAUAUAAAGAAUUUUCUAUCACUAGAAAGCAAUCUGUUUGGCAACCUGAGAAGUGCUGAGUGCCCUGAUCUCCCAUGGGAGUUAAUGGAAGUUGAAGGCACUCAGCCUAUAUUAGGAAUCACUCCUCAUCUUUCAGGACCUUGCCUGUAGUCACUGUAUUGAGACUCCAUCCAAGGGAUGACACAAAUGAAAGUAAUGAAGAUCAGUAGAAAGCAGUGGGGUUGCUUUUUUCACUCAGAGCAGUAAACCCAUUUUCUUCAAAUAAAAUACAUGUCUCUAGGAGUUAUCACUUGAUUUUGUUACACUUAGACCCCACAAUGUAUUUUAAAAGACACAUCCCCCCCCACCCCAAUAAAUAAAUAAAAUAAAAUCACAGACGCAGCUUUCAAAUUAGGCAUCUAAUUUAGGGCACCCCCUGCCAUAGGUGUGCUCCCACUGAUACUUCCAGCGCUUCUGCACCAGCAAAAAUGACACACAUUAUUCCCCAGCAGUUCAGCUCUGCUAUUGCUUAUGUAAGCUGAAGCUGGAGUGUGUAGACAAGGCUCAAGAGUUUUUUCCACCAUCUCAGCUAACCUUGCCCAUAGUGCCCAAUGCCCUAUUUCUUCCUCCCUUCCCCCUUCUCCUCUGCACUGCUACAGCGGGGGGACACAUCACACCCCAGUUCCACUGUCAAGGAUCCCUCUCCAGCCUCAGAAGUGGGAGCUAGCUUUGGCUCUACAGGCCUGAUUUGAGAAUCACACUGCAUGGAGGUUUCACUCACUUUAAUUGCAGCACACGGAACAGUUAUACCAUUUGAUCCAUAAAGUGUUUGUUGUUAAGAGAAUGCUAUCAAUUGGAAUUUUUUAACUGACUUUAAAAAAAACAAAGUUUUCUGGUAGCAAAUCCUUUAAAUACUAUGCCCUGAAAUAAAUGUAUAAAAUUCCCUUUAAAUAAAUGUUUACAAGGGUUUUUCUCCUCUCUUGUUGAUGGUUAUAAAGGUCUCUUGUGUACAAGGGAGUAUUGACUAAUUCACUCAUCAUAUAGAGGCUGGUGCUGGAGAUGGGACGUGAAACUGACUGACUACAUACAAAUUGCAGCCAACAGGGGUGCUGGAACAAUUUGUAUUGUGAGGGUGCUGAGAGCCAUUGAACCAAACUGUAAACCCUGGAUAUAACAGAAACCACUUCAAGCCAGGGGGUGGGGCAGCACCCCCAGUUUCAGCGCCUCUGGCUGCCAAAGGCACAAAGUAAACUAACGACAAAAAUGAGAUCCCUCCUCCCCCUUGCCCUCCAAAUUACUUUGUUAUAAUGAUUUGAUGUUCUAUUUGUAACUAAAGAGCUGAGUCCUACUCAGCUCCAAUCCUACACCAAUGGGAGCCUUGCCAUGGACUUCAGUGGGUGCAGGAUCAGACAUUUAAACUGAAGAAGCUGCAUUCAAACCUCUGCAACGGAGUUCAACCAGAAAGGUCGCAUUGUUUUCUACAGGAGGGAUGAGUAAGUCUCUUAGCAAACACAGAAAAGGAAAAUCCGCCACACCACCUCAGACAGAUUCUCAAACCAACUGGAACUCAAUCAGUGUGUUCUGUGUUCCUGUCAGAGAAUUGACAGUACCAGGGUUUCCCAAUUUGUAUAAUGUCUUGCACCAUUUGAUAUGACUUGGCCAAAUAAAAGUUUCAAUACAUCUAAUCAAGAAAAAAUGCAAAGUAUUUGUUUGUUCA